rnacentral:rRNA from 1 species
AAUGAACGCUGGCGGCAGGCCUAACACAUGCAAGUCGAACGCCGUAGCAAUACGGAGUGGCAGACGGGUGAGUAACACGUGGGAACGUACCCUUCGGUUCGGGAUAACUCAGGGAAACUUGAGCUAAUACCGGGAUACGUCCGAGAGGAGAAAGAUUUAUUGCCGAGGGAUACGGCCCGCGUCUGAUUAGCUUGUUGGUGAGGUAACGGCUCACCAAGGCGACGAUCAGUAGCU